UGGGGAAUUUUGGACAAUGGGCGCAAGCCUGAUCCAGCCAUGCCGCGUGCGGGAAGAAGGCCUUCGGGUUGUAAACCGCUUUUGUCAGGGAAGAAAUCUUCUGGGUUAAUACCUCGGGAGGAUGACGGUACCUGAAGAAUAAGCACCGGCUAACUACGUGCCAGCAGCCGCGGUAAUACGUAGGGUGCAAGCGUUAAUCGGAAUUACUGGGCGUAAAGCGUGCGCAGGCGGUUUUGUAAGACAGAGGUGAAAUCCCCGGGCUCAACCUGGGAACUGCCUUUGUGACUGCAAGGCUUGAGUGCGGCAGAGGGGGAUGGAAUUCCGCGUGUAGCAGUGAAAUGCGUAGAUAUGCGGAGGAACACCGAUGGCGAAGGCAACCCCCUGGGCCUGUACUGACGCUCAUGCACGAAAGCGUGGGGAGCAAACAGGAUUAGAUACCCUGGUAGUCCACGCCCUAAACGAUGUCAACUGGUUGUUGGGAAGGUUCCUUCUCAGUAACGUAGCUAACGCGUGAAGUUGGACCGCCUGGGGAGUACGGCCGCAAGGUUGAAACUCAAA
rnacentral:rRNA from 1 species